AUACGAAGGGGGCUAGCGUUGUUCGGAAUUACUGGGCGUAAAGCGCGCGUAGGCGGAUUGGUCAGUUAGGGGUGAAAUCCCAGGGCUUAACCCUGGAACUGCCUCUAAUACUGCCAGUCUUGAGUUCGGGAGAGGUGAGUGGAAUUCCUAGUGUAGAGGUGAAAUUCGUAGAUAUUAGGAAGAACACCAGUGGCGAAGGCGGCUCACUGGCCCGAUACUGACGCUGAGGUGCGAAAGCGUGGGGAGCAAACAGGAUUAGAUACCCCAGUAGUCC
rnacentral:rRNA from 1 species